GUGUUCUGCCCAACAUCCAGGCCGUGCUCCUCCCCAAGAAGACCCAGAAGCCCGCCGCCAAGUAAAAAGUCAGCUCUGUCGACUUUUUUGUCUAUACCAAACGGCCGUUUUCACGGCCACCCAUAUUUUUCGAAAAGAUGCCUCUAUAAUAUGCAGUGUACAUGCACAUAAGCAUUUAUAUAAAAAGCACACGUAGAUACACGCUUCUUAGAUUAUCGAGACAACGGUAUAUAUUAGCGUGCGUGCAGUUGCUUUCAAGAAAAAAGAAACACACACACACACAUUAAUUUAAAACUGUCUGUGUUCAAUAUUUUGAUUCCGAUUUGCACAUUCUAUUUGUAUUUCGAUUAAUUUCAUUUCUAUUACGCUGUCAAUUAAUAUACCAUCCUCGUCCCUGACUGCAUGUAAUCAACGUUUUCCCCGAUUUAAUUUUGUAAAGGAAAUCGCCAGACUUUAAAAGAAGAGAGAGAGAGAGAGAGAUAAAUAAAU
rnacentral:misc_RNA from 1 species